UGACGUCGCAAGACGAAAAAUGAAUACCAAGUCUCUGAGUGAACACGUAAUUCAUUACGAAGUUUAAUUCACGAGCAUCAAACUUUUAAAUUGAAGAGUUUGAUCAUGGCUCAGAUUGAACGCUGGCGGCAGGCCUAACACAUGCAAGUCGAACGGUAACAGGAAGCAGCUUGCUGCUUUGCUGACGAGUGGCGGACGGGUGAGUAAUGUCUGGGAAACUGCCUGAUGGAGGGGGAUAACUACUGGAAACGGUGGCUAAUACCGCAUAACGUCGCAAGACCAAAGAGGGGGACCUUCGGGCCUCUUGCCAUCAGAUGUGCCCAGAUGGGAUUAGCUUGUUGGUGAGGUAACGGCUCACCAAGGCGACGAUCCCUAGCUGGUCUGAGAGGAUGACCAGCCACACUGGAACUGAGACACGGUCCAGACUCCUACGGGAGGCAGCAGUGGGGAAUAUUGCACAAUGGGCGCAAGCCUGAUGCAGCCAUGCCGCGUGUAUGAAGAAGGCCUUCGGGUUGUAAAGUACUUUCAGCGGGGAGGAAGGUGUUGUGGUUAAUAACCGCAGCAAUUGACGUUACCCGCAGAAGAAGCACCGGCUAACUCCGUGCCAGCAGCCGCGGUAAUACGGAGGGUGCAAGCGUUAAUCGGAAUUACUGGGCGUAAAGCGCACGCAGGCGGUCUGUCAAGUCGGAUGUGAAAUCCCCGGGCUCAACCUGGGAACUGCAUUCGAAACUGGCAGGCUUGAGUCUUGUAGAGGGGGGUAGAAUUCCAGGUGUAGCGGUGAAAUGCGUAGAGAUCUGGAGGAAUACCGGUGGCGAAGGCGGCCCCCUGGACAAAGACUGACGCUCAGGUGCGAAAGCGUGGGGAGCAAACAGGAUUAGAUACCCUGGUAGUCCACGCCGUAAACGAUGUCUACUUGGAGGUUGUGCCCUUGAGGCGUGGCUUCCGGAGCUAACGCGUUAAGUAGACCGCCUGGGGAGUACGGCCGCAAGGUUAAAACUCAAAUGAAUUGACGGGGGCCCGCACAAGCGGUGGAGCAUGUGGUUUAAUUCGAUGCAACGCGAAGAACCUUACCUGGUCUUGACAUCCACAGAACUUUCCAGAGAUGGACUGGUGCCUUCGGGAACUGUGAGACAGGUGCUGCAUGGCUGUCGUCAGCUCGUGUUGUGAAAUGUUGGGUUAAGUCCCGCAACGAGCGCAACCCUUAUCCUUUGUUGCCAGCGAUUAGGUCGGGAACUCAAAGGAGACUGCCAGUGAUAAACUGGAGGAAGGUGGGGAUGACGUCAAGUCAUCAUGGCCCUUACGACCAGGGCUACACACGUGCUACAAUGGCGCAUACAAAGAGAAGCGACCUCGCGAGAGCAAGCGGACCUCAUAAAGUGCGUCGUAGUCCGGAUUGGAGUCUGCAACUCGACUCCAUGAAGUCGGAAUCGCUAGUAAUCGUGGAUCAGAAUGCCACGGUGAAUACGUUCCCGGGCCUUGUACACACCGCCCGUCACACCAUGGGAGUGGGUUGCAAAAGAAGUAGGUAGCUUAACCUUCGGGAGGGCGCUUACCACUUUGUGAUUCAUGACUGGGGUGAAGUCGUAACAAGGUAACCGUAGGGGAACCUGCGGUUGGAUCACCUCCUUACC
rnacentral:rRNA from 1 species